rnacentral:rRNA from 1 species
CCAACAGGGAUUGCCUCAGUAACGGCGAGUGAAGCGGCAACAGCUCAAAUUUGAAAUCUGGCCCCCGGCCCGAGUUGUAAUUUGCAGAGGAUGCUUUUGGUGCGGUGCCUUCCAAGUCCCCUGGAACGGGGCGCCAAAGAGGGUGAGAGCCCCGUCUGGUUGGCCGCCAAGCCUGUGUAAAGCUCCUUCGACGAGUCGAGUAGUUUGGGAAUGCUGCUCUAAAUGGGAGGUAGACCCCUUCUAAAGCUAAAUAUUGGCCAGAGACCGAUAGCGCACAAGUAGAGUGAUCGAAAGAUGAAAAGCACUUUGAAAAGAGGGUUAAACAGUACGUGAAAUUGUUAAAAGGGAAGCGCUUGUGACCAGACGUGCGCCGGGUGUUCAGCGGGCGUUCUCGCCCGUGCACUCACCCCGGCGCAGGCCAGCGUCGGUUCGGGUGGGGGGAUAAAGACGCUGGGAAUGUAGCUCCCCCGGGAGUGUUAUAACCUGACGUGUCAUGCCCCCGUCCGGACCGAGGUUCGCGCUCUGCAAGGACGCUGGCGUAAUGGUCCCCAGCGGCCCGUCUUGAAACACGGACCAAGGAGUCGAGGUUUUGCGCGAGUGUUUGGGUGUCAAACCCGCACGCGUAAUGAAAGUGAACGCAGGUGGGAGCUUCGGCGCACCACCGACCGAUCCUGAUGUUCUCGGAUGGAUUUGAGUAGGAGCGUAGGGCCUCGGACCCGAAAGAUGGUGAACUAUACUUGGAUAGGGUGAAGCCAGAGGAAACUCUGGUGGAGGCUCGCAGCGGUUCUGACGUGCAAAUCGAUCGUCAAAUCUGAGUAUGGGGGCGAAAGACUAAUCGAACCAU